rnacentral:lncRNA from 1 species
AAAGGUGGAAUUUGGAAGUUUGACCUAGAAUUGACUUUGUGGUUAUGAGAUCCGAUUGGGGUUCCUGGAGUUGGGGUAUAUCUGUUGUAUCAUUUGUGGCUUGUGUGCAAAAUUUGAGAUCAAUCAGAAAUGAAUUGAUAGAUUUUGGCAUCGUUUGUAGAAUUUGGAAUUCUUUAGUUUUUAUCAAGCUUGAAUUUGGGUGUGAUUCAUGGUUUUAGCUUGUCUUGAUGUGAUUUGAAGGCUCAACUGAGUUCGUAUUGUAUUUUAAGACUUGUUGGUAUAUUUGGUUGAGGUCCCGAGGACCUCGAAUGGAGUUCGUAUGGUUAACAGAUCAAGUUUGAAAGUUGAGAGGUUGUUAUAGUUCACCAACUCUGGUGCAAUCGCACUUGCAAAAUGGUGAUUGCAAGUGCGAGCUCGUAGGUGCGAGCAAGUGAACAUAGAUGUGGUCAAGAAGGAAGUGUGUAGUGAUCACAUGUGUGAAGGAAUUUACGGGCCUGUGUGGCUGCGAAUGUGGCGACUAGAGUGUAGAAGAGAAAUUUGAUUGGCGGCUGAGGAGCACAGAUAUGGAGGAGUUCUGGAGGUGCUGAGUUGCACCUAUGCGUGUGUGGUCGCAGAAGCAGAGGCAGUGGAUCCUUGGGCAAAAUGCAAAAGCUAA